AUUUAAUAUCUCAAGUCAUUUUGCUUCUCAAGUAAAUGUAUUUUGAGAGCAAGACAAAAAUACUUUUUAAAAAGUCAUUUUUUUAAAAGGUACAAAAGCUGUCACUGGAGCGGUACCCAUUCAAAAGAUACUAAAUUGCACCAUUUACUGUAGGCAUUAACAUGCACCUUUAGGGGUAAAUAAGGUACAAAGGUGUAGCUGUUGAAAGUGUCCCACCCCAGUAAGAGCUUUUGUACCUUUUUGCAGCAGGAGCAUCCGAACACAUCCACAGGUUCAGCUGACUCUCUAUUAGUGUGGGCUUAUUUUCCCCAUCAGCAGGGAAGUUCUUCCCUCACACUCCCGUCCUUUCAGAGAAGAGUGAUUAUUUCCUGCACCUUUCUUCUGCAUCUCUCUUUUAGGCCCUGAAAACAAAUAAUUGGGGCUUCAUUGCCCACUUCAGACUUUGAAAAACACCUGGCCAAGGAUGAAAAGAUCUUUAGAAGGUAGAAGAAGAAGAGAAAGAACGGUCAGUGUUACGGAGGACACCCUAAUGUCUGUUUUCUGGGUCACGGCUACACAAAGAUUUGACAGCUUCAUCUGGGAUAAAGAUACAUGAAAACGGUUUAACAUCAUAAUAAUUUUGCUCAAGAAAUAUAAUCAUGAUUACUGUCAUUAAACAGCGCAAAUGAUGCCAUAGAAGAGCCUUUAUGCCUAAAUGGUUCCAUAAAGAACCUUUAAUAUCUGAAGAACCUUUCUGUUUCACAAAAGGUUCUUCAGAUUAUGAAAAGGCAAGAAAGAGAUGGUUCUUUAAAGAACCUUUGACUGAAUGGUUCUUUGUGGAACCAAAAAUGGUUCUGGACUCUCAUUCUGACGGCACCCAUUCACUGCAGAGCAUCCAUUGCUGAGACACUGAUGCAGGGCUGCAUUUCUACAAAUCUGAUGAAGAAACAAACUCAUCUACAUCUGGGAUGAACUGAGGGUGAGCACAUUUUCAGCAAACAUUCAUUUUUGGGGGAACCGUUCCUUUAACUCACGGUCAACCAUUUCAUAAAACAGUCUACUGUAGUGUAUUGAGAAAUGUUUACACUCAUUUGUAAUUCUCAUAGACACUUCCUGUGCCAAUGUGUAAGUAUGUCAAUUUUUUGAAACAAUGGUUGAUUAUCUACAUCAUACUAAUCAGCGCUCUUGUAGACAAAGAAUAAAUGUCACCAAGAAUUACAGAGAUGAAUCUGGUAAUUGACAAGCAGAAUGUAUGAAUAAUGAGUUAACGAACACGAGUCCAAGCAGUCAGAGGCUGGAUGAGAUGCGUGUGAGAUGCUCGUUAUCAAACUGACAUUCAGCACAGAGAGCAAAGAGACAGGUGCAAAUUAGUGAUUGAUUCGCAUUGGCCUUUUCAUCACUACAAGAGCCCCUGAUGAGCGCGAUCACAUCUCAUUGUGUGCCACACACAACGUAUCUCUGCCAGAUUGAAAAGUUAAAAAAAUAAAGGGAUACGGCUAUGAAUCACUUCACCCAACCACAGCGUUUUGUCUUUGUUUGAUGUCAAAUUAAGCUGUAAAGCAGACAAACAGAAAGACUAGAAGAGAAGAGACAAACGGUAAACAUUUCUCAAUGUCUUGAUAUUAUAGCAAAUAUAUCUUAAUAUUCUGGAUCAAAUUUUAUAUAUCAAUUCAUUACAGUUGCCUAUGUAUUAAACUUCACUUUUAACUCAAUGCACACCGCAUGUGUGACAUGAAUGAUGGCUCAAAUUAUAUGUUUUGUUAAUAACAGGUGUGUUGUUACUUUUCUAAGUGAUCAGAUUUUCACCUGGUAGAUGAUAAAACAAGAGGAAAUUCUCAUAAGUUUACAUCUGAGCAAUAUGUACAGACUGAAACAUCACAUUUAAAACACCAAAGACCACUCAGAACACCUAAGAAACUGGACUGCAACACUGAAAACACUGGCUUUGAAAACUGUCAGAUGAACACUGUAUUCAUCUUCAUCGUCUGACCUUCACUAAAGGUCAGAAAAGGCCAGGUUUGGUCCACAAUAAACACAUAUUUCCCAAAUAUGAACAAACGCUUUAUAUUUAUUUUAAUGGACAGCUAUUUAGGUCAUUUUUUUUCCAAUAUUCAGUGACCAAAAUGAGUGGGCGACAAUGUUUUGAGUCAGGGAAUGACUGUCAAUUGUUUGUUCAUCAUAUUUGAUCAUUUGUGUCCCAGUUCUCUGUUCCAGACCAGCCGUAGUGACUCAAAUCGCUCUACUUCAGGACAAGGACAUCUUGUGGUCUGAACUCCAAUCAGCUGUUCUUCUGUUUUAGAACAUGUUCCCUUGACGAGGUGCUGUAUUCCCUGAGGAGAAGAUGCAUGCACUAGUACUAACACUAAAGAGUCAUACUGUCAGCAUGCAAUGUUUAGGAAAGGUAACUCAGGAACAGACAUUUCUGUAUGUAGGAAAUGAAGCAGCAAAUCAAAUUUUGUGUAUUUUGGUUUUUAUGAAUGAAGUAAGAAAGAAAGCUUUUUGUUCAGAUGUUGUGAAUGCCUGAACUCCAACAAUAACCAACAAUAACUCCAACCAUUAAUAUGAGCUUAAUUUCCACUCAACCAAAUUGCUAAUAAAUUUCACAAUUAAUUAGAGCAAGUAACACAUUGAAUUAAAUGCGACAUUUUGAAGUAGAAAGACUGAAAUAGUAAAAUGUUCCAGCAAUCUUUGUUUUAUUUACGAUGUCAAAAAAAUAUAUAUUUUUUUUUUUUACAGUGUGGAGAUUAAAUUUGGUGAUAUAACACAUUAAGGCUGUGGUUUAUUUAUGUGUGUUUUUAAAUUAUGUAUUUAAGACUAGUUAUUAAUAAUGCAUCUCUCUCUCUCUCUUUCUCUCUUUUGUGAUGUAAAUUUAAUUCCUAAACAAUCUGUGAAUUAAAAAAUGUCCUUUAUUUCACUGAAAAAAAACACUGAUUUACUGAAAAUAUUUGAUAAUAAAUUGCUAG
ensembl:lncRNA